rnacentral:lncRNA from 1 species
UGGGCCGUAAAGAACUGGAGCCCAUAGCAAGCAUACGAGCUCGAGACGGAGACCUCUAGGUCCUGGAGAUCACGGAACAAGAUACGGAGAUCGCGGAGUGGUUACGGAGAUCACGAAGUCGACCUACUAUAAAGAGAGGAGAACACACAUGGAGAAGGACACGUUGAAAAUCCUAGAGAGAGCUACACCCACACUCCGACCUUGUUUUCAUCGAUCUUUAGAUCUUUUCUCUUAAACGAUCUAAUUGUAACGUUCGAUCUUGUUUUGCUUAUUGUAUUCGAUCUCAUUUAUCAAUAAAAGUCCAUUUUUUCCUACCGGAAACUGAUUACAUCGUU